rnacentral:rRNA from 1 species
GACGAACGCUGGCGGCGUGCCUAAUACAUGCAAGUAGAACGCUGAAGGAGGAGCUUGCUCUUCUGGAUGAGUUGCGAACGGGUGAGUAACGCGUAGGUAACCUGCCUGGUAGCGGGGGAUAACUAUUGGAAACGAUAGCUAAUACCGCAUAAGAGUAGAUGUUGCAUGACAUUUACUUAAAAGGUGCAAUUGCAUCACUACCAGAUGGACCUGCGUUGUAUUAGCUAGUUGGUGGGGUAACGGCUUACCAAGGCGACGAUACAUAGCCGACCUGAGAGGGUGAUCGGCCACACUGGGACUGAGACACGGCCCAGACUCCUACGGGAGGCAGCAGUAGGGAAUCUUCGGCAAUAGACGGAAGUCUGACCGAGCAACGCCGCGUGAGUGAAGAAGGUUUCCGGAUCGUAAAGCUCUGUUGUAAGAGAAGAACGAGUGUGAGAGUGGAAAGUUCACACUGUGACGGUAUCUUACCAGAAAGGGACGGCUAACUACGUG